GGCAUUUUGAGUGGGACUAGGGGCUCCGCAGUAAACUAAAACAAUGAUAACUAUCCUAAACAACAGUAUACAAGGCACAUUGACAUUUGAGAGAGACAUAAAACGAGGCAUAAAGCAAUCACAGGUGUUGAUUGGGAGAGCUAGCUAAGACAACGACGGGUAAGACAACAACAGCUAAUCAGCUAAGACAACAACGACAGGUAAAAUGGCCAUGAAUGGGCAGAGAGGGUCAGUUAACCUCACACACGGCCUGAGUUUGAGGCUGGGGCUGACAGAUAAACAAAAAAAUAAACAAAAUGGAGUACCGUGAUUAAUGAACAGUCCAGUAGGCAUCAGCUAUGUAGCCAAGUAAUCAUAGGGUCCAGUGAACAGCAAUAGAUGGAACAGAGAAGCCGCAGGGUAGUCGUUACUAUGCUAGCAAGCGGGAGACACAGCGUUUAAAGUUAGCAGGCCGGGGUUAGUAGAAGCGUCUGCUCCGACGUCCGGCAAAGGCCGGUUGAGGGACCAGCGGAUGGAGUUCCGUCGGCAGACCAGUCGUGGUGGUACGGCGGGGCACCGUGUCGACAAAGGAUCCAGGCCAGAUGGCGAAAGGGGUAUUGUAGUUGUAGUAAUUUAGUUUGCUAGCCGGGAGAUGCGCCUGGCUCGCGGCUAACUGGUGCUAGCUUCGGGGAAGGGGCGUUAGCCACUAUAGCCACUCGGUAGCAGCUAACUAGCAGCGAUGAUCCGAUGCAAAGGUCCAGAGCUUAUGGCAAGGAUCCGGUGGAGUAGUGGAUUCUAGCCGUGUUGGGGUAGAGUCCGGGAGGCAUCAGCUGUGUAGCCGAGUGAUCACUGAGUAGGCCGGGAGGUGGGCCUGGCUCAGAGCUAGCUUCGGGGCUGGGUCACUUGGUGGCAGCUAGCUAGCUAGCUGUGAUGAUCAGGAAUAAUGGUCCAGGGCUUACGGCAGGAAUCCGGCGUUGUAGUGGAGAAAACAGUCCGAUACUGGCAGGCUGGCAAGUAUUAUCCAGGCUUAAAAAAACGGCUGAUGUCUGUGCAGAAGGUUUCUUACGUGCUGUUCCUGAUUUUUCCGUAGUGUAUUUUUGUGUUGUUUUAGUGAUUCACCGUAGCGAAGGCGUAGACUCAGGUUUUCUGGGUCUCUAUGUUUUUGUUAAUUUCUUUCUUAGGUUUUUGCAUUCUUCAUCAAACCAUUUGUCAUUGUUUUUAAUUUUCUUAGGUUGUCUCCUUGACAUUUUUUGAUGUGAUAGGAAAGCUAAAAUGUUAAAUAUACUGUUUAGACGUUCUACAGCCAGGUUUACACCUUUACUAUUACAGUGACAUGUUUUGUCCAGGAAGUUUUCUAAAAGGGAUUGAUUUUGUUCUUGCCUAAUAGUUGUUUGGUAGAUUUCUACACUACCUUCCUUCCAUCUAUAGCAUUAAUAUUGUGCAGUUCCUUUUGGUUUGAUGCCUCAUGAUAGAGUAUUGCUCUGUUCAAAUAGACUGUGAUUUUGCUGCGAUGGGGGUUUCAGUGGGCUGACUGUGAAUGCUCUGAGAGACUCUGGGUUGAGGUCAGUGAUUAAGUAAUCUACAGUACUACUGCCAAGGAAUGAGCUGUAGAUGCACCUAGCAUAGGAGACUCCUUGAAGCCUACUAUUGACUAUGUACAGACCCAGCAUGCGACAGAGCUGCAGGAGUUGUGACCCGUUUUUGUUGGUUGUUUUGUCAUAGUUGUGUCUAUAUGGGGCAUAUUUGGGAGGGAAUGCUGUCACCUCCAGGUAGGUAUUUGUCCCCGUGUGCUGAGAGUGUCAGGUUCUUGUCCAGUUCUGGCAUUUAGGUCACCACAGACUAGUACAUCUCCCUGGGCCUGGAAAUGGUUGAUUUCCCCGUCUAGGAUGUUGUCAUUGUUAAAGUAUGGGGAUUCUAUUGGGGGGAUAUAGGUAGCACACAUGAGGACAUUUUUCUCUGUUCCUUAUUAAUUUCGAGACGGAAGUAAAAUGUUCCUGUUUGGACUAAUUUAAUAGUGGGUUAGGUUUGCUCUAUACCACAUUAGCAUACCCCCUGAGUCUCUUCCCUGUUUCACACCUGGUAGUUUGGUGGAUGGGACUGCCAGCUCUUUGUAACCUAGAGGGCAACCAGUGGGUCCGUCUCCUCUAUACCAUGUUUCUUGUAGAGUGAGAAUGUCUGUAUUGUCCUAAUGUGUCCUCCUUGUCCUGAUUGCAGGUUUAUGGGACAUAAUCACAGUGCACCAGUCCCCUCCAGUCCUCUCUGUCCAGCCUGGAGACACUGUGCGAAUUCUCUGUAGAGCCUCACAAGACAUUGAUAACGAUAUGACACUUUACCAGUUCAAACCUGUGCAGGCACCCAGAGGCCUCAUUCAUGAUAGUAACCAGAAGUAUCCUUACACAUCUAGUCGGUUCAGUGGCUUAUUGAAUGGAGCUCUCACCACCUUCACUAUCACAGAGGUCCAGGUUAAGGAUGAAGCUGAGUAAUACUGCCAACAAAGUGAACAGCUUCCAUUCACACAGUGAAAUAUGGCUGUACAAAAACCUCUGUUAGCUUCUCUCACUUCAGUCCGUUUGUGCGAGUGCCCGGCCAAGCAUCCGAGAACUGUCAGGGUUCAAUGACCUCUUUCCAUCAUAGCUGUAGCUGUACUGUAAGCAUAUCACAAUCAUAAAUAACUGGCAAUAGGGUGGCAUUAGCCAGUCAAGGCAACACAAACAUGGGAAUGGAACUGAACUGGCAGCUGGAACGCUGCUGGCCUCUGAUCCCAUGUACCAUCUCCUGCCCUUGUGCACUUGGACAAGGCACUCAACCCCCCACAAUUGCUCUUCGUCAAGGGCACUGCACUACAGCUCAUCCUGUGCCUCUCAAUGUGUGUGUGUGUGUGUGUGUGUGUGUGUGUGUGUGUGUGUGUGUGUGUGUGUGUGUGUGUGUGUGUGUGUGUGUGUGUGUGUGUGUACACUCUUAGAAAAAAAGGUGCUAUCUAGAACCUAAAAGGGUUCUUUGGCUGUCCCCAUAGGAGAAUCCUUUAAAGAACACGUUUUAUUUCCUGGUAGAACCUAACAGAGGUUUUUUACAUGGAACCCAAAAGGGUUCUACCUAGAACCAAAAAGUGUUCUCCUAUGGGAACAGCUGAAGAACCCUUUUGGAACCCUUUUUCUACGAGUGCAUAUCUGGGGUGUUGGGAAAGGCAGGAGACAAAUUUCCACUCUAACCAAUGGACAAUAAAGUAUCUAUUCUAUAGGUCUACAAUAACAGAAUAAACUACUUCAGACUCGGCCAACAGUGUUAUUUGAGCAGUGAUCACCAUGAUGUCAACAUUUCAGCUCCUCUUUCUUUGCCCUAUGGACAAAAAGUACAUAUACAAGUUACAAAACUUAAAGCGGCAAUCAGAAGUAGAAACAAUAGUAAAGUGGUUGCCCCACCCCUGGUUCUGUAAUAAGCUGAGGGAUGGGUCUGGAAAAAUAUAACCACUGAAAUUCAUAGACAGCAUUAUUUUUAACCAUGUUCUGAGGCUAUAUAGUGUUUGUUUCCAUUUUCUUUGUUUACAAACAUUGGAGUAAAACAAGCUUAUAUAUUUUUAUUUAUUUUUUAUUUAUUUAUUAUUAUAUAUAUAUAUAUAUAUAUAUAUAUAUUUCUUACCCUUUUUUCGCCCCAAUUUCAUGGUAGUUACAGUCUUGUCCCAUCGCUGCAACUCCCGUACGGACUCGGGAGAGGUGAAGGGACAGAGCCGUGCGUCCUCCGAAACACAACCCAGCCAAGCCGCAAUGCUUCUUGACACAAUGCCCGCUUAACCCGGAAGCCAGUUGCACCAUGAUGUGUUGCAGGAAACACCGUACACCUGGGGACCUUGUCAGCGUGGAUUGCGCCCGGCCCGCCACAGGAGUCGCUAGUGCUCGAUGGGACAAGAACUUCCCUGUCGGCCAAACCCUCCCCUAACCCGGACGACGCUGGGCCAAUUGUGCGCCGCCCCAUGGGUCUCCCGGUCGCGGCCGUCUGCGACAGAGCCUGGAUCUCUAGUGGCACAGCUAGCACUGCGAUGCAGUGCCUUAGACUACUGCACCACUCGGGAGGCCUUAUAUUUUGGUGGGGAACGACAGUUGAACUAAGUGCAUGAGGUUCAUGGGGCAUCAUCACAGUGGACCAGUCCCCUCCGGUCCUCUCUGUCCAGCCUGGAGACACAAGACAUUGGCAAUGAUAUGGAGGUGCACCAGUUUAAACCUGGACAGGCACCCAAAACUCUUUUUAUGAUGGUAACCAGAGGUAUUUGUGCACACCCGGUCGGUUCAGUGGCCUCUAUACUGGAGCUCUCACCACCUUCACUAUCAGUUGAGUACAAGCAGAGGACGAAGCUUAGUAUUACUGACCAACACAGUGAAACAUUUCCAUCCACACAGUGAAAUACGGCUGUGCAUAAACCUCAGAUCACUGUUCUCAUAUGAGAAUGUUGCCAAGCUCCAGUGCACAGUUUAGCUUCAUUGAAAAACUGUUCCAUGCUUGUAACCUCGGUCUACACUAGACUCUACAUUCGGUCAAAACAGCCUCUCUCGUAUGUGCUAGAGCUCAUAUGGACAUUUGGGAUCUACAUUUUCUUAUUGAAAACAUGUUGUUUCUGGAUAUUUUGCUUCCAUCAAUAAUGACAUAUCUACUGUACAUGGACAACCUCUCAGACUCUUUAUGCAGGAGCUAUAAAGUCCCAAGUUACCUGGGACAUGAUACAGCUGAUCCUGGAAUAAAGGCUGUUAUGAUUUUUUAUUUAUUUACAUUGAUGGAUAUUGAAUUGAGAAAUGGGACCAGGCUAGGAAUCACUGUGAUGACAUGAUCAGUAUGGGAUGAUUCCUGGUGCUAAAUCUUUCAUCUGUAUUGAGCUAUUUGUGUACACAAAGAUACAUCCACUGGAUUGAUCAGUAAGGUAAGGAGUCAUGUUUGAAAUUGUAAUGUUAUUGAGUUGGUAAAACAAUUUGAAAACAAAUCUUUAACUCCCACUGUAAGAUUGUUCAUAGUUUAUAACAAAUCAAUAGAAAUAUAAUCUCUCUCACUGAAAAGAGUUGUACAAAAUUAUGAUAAACAAUUGAAUAGUUACAUUAAAUGAUGGAUAAUUUGUAUCAUACUGUAGUGGUUGAUAUUUGUUUAGAAAUUCUGUUAACUAGUUCCGUUCAUGGACCAGUGAGUUUAGUGGAGGAGAGGUUUUUGAACAACCUCCUCAUCUGUUUAAAUCAUUGUGGUACAAGUUUGGGCAAACGACCAAACUGAUCGUUAAGAGUAAGUUGCAAAUAUUUCUAGAAUGUAUCUAAUCAAUAGACUAUAUUGUUUAUAGACAUUUCUGUUAUUAUUGUAAGUGGAACCAUCAUGGUGUAAUUGUGAACAGAUAUUUUACUGUAACAAACAACUAAUUUAAUUAUAAACAAGAGUGUAUUAUUCUUUCAGAGACAUUUUGAUAUUGGCCUCUCUAUGCUGCUGAAUUGGAAUGGAUCCAUCAAAACACUGCAGCUGUGUACGCUGUUUAAUGAUUUUCUUUAUUUAAUCAAUUUCAUAAAUCUAAUGUUUUGGUAACACUUUAUUUCAUCCUAUCAUAUUAUACAUUUCAUGAAGCCUUCAUAAAUGCUUAUAAAUGCUUUAAAAAUGAUAAAUGUUCUACAUUUUCAUGGAAUGGAAGGCUUAGAAUGCUUAUAAAUGUUUACACAUUUAUUCAUGAUAGUUAUUAUAAUAAAGUGUUACCAAUAUUUUUCUUAAUUAUAUUGUAUUUUACAAAUGUACAAAAUAUAUUAUUUACAUAUAUUAUUAUGUAAAUCAAUAAUAGAUGUAUUGUCUAUCUGCAUUUAUACAUAUUUCAAUCUGUUUAUGCUGGAGGCAAUGGAAAUACUAAGGGGGGGGGUUCUACUAAGGUGACAUAUGAAAUUGUUUUUAGAUGGUCAUACCAUGGAUCAUUUAGCUAUAUGAUAUUGAAUUUUAGGACCCCUGUAGGUAUCAACAUUUUAAAUGUUUGAUCAAAUGUAGAAUUUGGCCUUUACUACUAUAGCCCAUAGAAAUGCAUAGAAUAAUGGCAAAAUAAAUAAUAAGGAAUAAGGUA